rnacentral:rRNA from 1 species
AACGAACGCUGGCGGCAUGCCUAACACAUGCAAGUCGAACGAGAUCUUCGGGUCUAGUGGCGCACGGGUGCGUAACGCGUGGGAAUCUGCCCUUUGGUUCGGAAUAACAGUUGGAAACGACUGCCAAUACCGGAUGAUGACGAAAGUCCAAAGAUUUAUCGCCAGAGGAUGAGCCCGCGUAGGAUUAGCUAGUUGGUGUGGUAAAGGCGCACCAAGGCGACGAUCCUUAGCUGGUCUGAGAGGAUGAUCAGCCACACUGGGACUGAGACACGGGCCAAACUCCUACAGGAGGCAGCAGGGGGGAAUAGUGGACAAUGGGCGAAAGCCUGAUCCAGGAAUGCCGCGUGGGGUAUGAAGGCCUUAGGGUUGUAAAGCUCUUUUACCCGGGAUGAUAAUGACAGUACCGGGAGAAUAAGCUCCGGCUAACUCCGUGCCAGCCGCCGCCGUAAUAC